UCCCCGUUAUUAAACCCCUUUGUUGAAAAAAUUCUCCCUCGAGCCCCCUUUAAGGCGACGGGAACCCACGGCGGCAGUUUGACAAUCGGAGAACUCGCAUACCACUGUUCUCCUCCCCGCACUCUUCCUAGUCUGUGGCAUCCUCUUGAGGUUGGCCUCCGCGGUAGAGGCCCAAGCGGGAGAACCCCUCAGAGAGACUCGGGGGACCGAAGACGGUGGAGGGCCGACGGAGAUGGCAAAGGCCGGCGCAAAGGACGCUCGGAGUCAGAAAGGGCACCGAUGGAGUGGUUGUGUGGCUAGGCUCUCAAGCGGAAGAAAGGCGUCGACCCUCAGGCGAGGUG
rnacentral:lncRNA from 1 species